GACACGCUGGCGGCGUGCCUAACACAUGCAAGUCGAACGGACGAGGGGAGCUUGCUCCCCAAGUUAGUGGCGGACGGGUGAGUAACACGUGAGCAACCUGCCCUUCGGAGGGGGACAACAGCUGGAAACGGCUGCUAAUACCGCAUGAUGUAUCCUGGAGGCAUCUCCGGGAUACCAAAGAUUUAUCGCCGAAGGAUGGGCUCGCGUCUGAUUAGAUAGUUGGUGGGUAACGGCCUACCAAGUCGACGAUCAGUAGCCGGACUGAGAGGUUGAACGGCCACAUUGGGACUGAGAUACGGCCCAGACUCCUACGGGAGGCAGCAGUGGGGAAUAUUGGGCAAUGGGGGCAACCCUGACCCAGCAACGCCGCGUGAAGGAAGAAGGCUUUCGGGUUGUAAACUUCUUUGACGAGGGACGAUAGUGACGGUACCUCGAAAACAAGCCACGGCUAACUACGUGCCAGCAGCCGC
rnacentral:rRNA from 1 species